UUUGUUCUCAGAAAGAGCAUCUGUUCUCAUAAACGAGGGGCUGUGCAUGUUGAAGUUGGAGAAAGUGGAGAACCCGAUUACUGAGGAAGAUGUUUGACGCCAAGAAACAACAGCUACAAUGUUCCACUCAUCGAAACAUGUUUCAGCUUAUACCUUCACAGUUCUGCGAGAUGGUCAGCCAUAUUGGAUUCCAUGCAGAGUACACACCACCUGCAGACCCAGCUUAUGGAGAGGGUAUCUACUUUGCUGGUACAGUGAGGAAAGCCAUGGAAGUGGGAA